UUAGUUUUACCUUUGUAAAUUUUACAAAAACAUAUGAACAUGUGAAUAUCUUGCUAGUGCCCUUUCUGGAAAUUUUGAUGCUCCUGUGUAAGUGAGGGGCCUUGAAAUUAAGCUUCAUUAGCCUUAUGGUAAAUCCAGCUCUGGCCACUAAUUCACCAAAAUGUUUCCAGGUGCAGGUUGCCAAUUCCAGUGGUCACAUCUUGGUCCUCCUUUUACUCCAACUCUAUCAGCAUUGGGUUAUGACCUUCUUAUGGAAACACCUUUUCUGUUGAUUUCCACAGCUUCUUCCUAUUCUCCUGGGUUUUUCCUAUUUCAUAGGCUGUUCCUUCUCUGUCUACUCUGUGUGCCUCAGGGCUCAGUAUUUGGGCCAAGAGAGAGUGAGCAUUUGCACUCACUCUCUCAUGAUCUCAUCUAGCCCUAUUAUUGUACCUAUUGGUUAUAAAAAUAUACCUUUCAAAUUUAUACCUCUGUCCUGGACGUCUCCCAAGGCUUGAGACGUGUAAUUUAUCUGCCCACUCACUACCCCACUUGGAUGUCUAAUGGGAAUCUCAAAGUAAUUGUGUUCAAAAUGAAACCCAAUUCCAAAAUUAUCUUCCCAUUUUAGCAAAUGCUUCCAUUCAGUAGGUCAGUCUACAGCCUAGGACUCACCUCUUGAUUUCUCUUUGCCUCUCAUGUCACAUAGGUCCAUGAACAAGUGCAUCAGUACUACCUUCAGAAAGUCUGAGUCCGACCAUUUCCCCACUUUCCAACACAGCUGCUCUCAUUCUAGACCAUCACUAUUUCUUGCCUGAACUCUUGUAAUGGCUUCCAUUCUGGUUCCGUGCUUCUACCCUUGUCCCAUUAUAACUUUUCUUCAUCCUCUGCUCAGAAUCUUCCAGUGCUUCCAGUCACAUUUAGAACAUAAUUCAAAGUCUUAUCAGGACUUGGAAGGCUGCCAUACUGCGGUCCCCAGGCCAGCAGGAUCAGUAUCACUUGGGAACUUGUUAGAAAUGCAAAUUCGCAGGCCCCACCUAUUGAGGCAGAAACUCUAGGGGUAGCCAGCAAAAUGAGUUUUCACACACAGGGUAUGCUAGUGAGACUGAGACCGGCUAAAAUUUGAGAAACACAGUCCUAUUACCUGUCCCAUAGCUGGUUCUCUGACCUCCUCUCCUACCAGUCUUCCUCACUCAUGGAUAUCCUGACUCACUGGCCUGGCUGUUCCUGGAACAAGUCAGAUGAACUCCUCAGAGCUUUUGCACUUACGGUGCCUCAGCCUAAACUCUUCCCUCAGCCCUGUGGAUGGCUGACUCCUUUGCUUCAGAUAAACUGCCUGGAAGAUGGUCUCAGUCUGUUGCCCAGGCU
rnacentral:lncRNA from 1 species